UACGUAGGGUGCGAGCGUUAAUCGGAAUUACUGGGCGUAAAGCGUGCGCAGGCGGUUCGUUGUGUCUGAUGUGAAAGCCCCGGGCUCAACCUGGGAAUGGCAUUGGAAACUGGCGGGCUUGAGUGUGGCAGAGGGGGGUGGAAUUCCGCGUGUAGCAGUGAAAUGCGUAGAGAUGCGGAGGAACACCGAUGGCGAAGGCAGCCCCCUGGGCCAACACUGACGCUCAGGCACGAAAGCGUGGGGAGCAAACAGG
rnacentral:rRNA from 1 species